CUUAAUUGUCUCCAGCUCCCUGCUCCCUUCUUCUGCUUACUUGGCUCGCCCCCAGGUGAACCACCUGCCCCGCAGUGCUUGCUGCAGUUUUGUCUUCAGGGGAUCUACCCAUGCCAAACCCUGCUCCGCCCGUGACUUUCCUGUCUCACUAAAUGGCAGCUCCAAUCUUCCCGUUGAGCAGGUCAAAACCUUGAGGUCAAUUUGACUUUUUCUCUCGCUCUCCACAUCCAUUCAUCAGCAGUUCCUGUUGGAAGACAAUCAAUAUUGCAGAGGUUUGUGUGGACACAAAGCAAAGGAUUCUGUAGCUGAUGCAGAGGUUUCCCCUGCACGCCAGACUGACUCAGACCAAGAGCUAACUUCUGUCUCCUGCAGUGCACACCCAAGGGCUGUUGGUCCUACCCAGUCCUGGUAGAUUGACCACAUUGGGUCUUUCAUCCCCUCACCUCAGUGCUGUUGGCACUUUUUCAGAUUACCAGGUUGCUGUUCUAGUCCAAUAAGCUGACCCUGGGCAUACCACUGUGGCCUUUAAGAGCUCAGAGAAGUGCCUGGCUGUUGUGCAUUCUCCUGACAGAUCAGUUGUCGUCCAUCUUGUUCCUCUGCAGCUCCCUCCAUUCCUGCUAUGUUUCAUGACACUGAUGAUUUGU
rnacentral:lncRNA from 1 species